GUACACUCCUACGGGAGGCAGCAGUGGGGAAUAUUGGACAAUGGGCGCAAGCCUGAUCCAGCCAUGCCGCGUGAGUGAUGAAGGCCCUAGGGUUGUAAAGCUCUUUCACCGGUGAAGAUAAUGACGGUAACCGGAGAAGAAGCCCCGGCUAACUUCGUGCCAGCAGCCGCGGUAAUACGAAGGGGGCUAGCGUUGUUCGGAUUUACUGGGCGUAAAGCGCACGUAGGCGGACUAUUAAGUCAGGGGUGAAAUCCCGGGGCUCAACCCCGGAACUGCCUUUGAUACUGGUAGUCUUGAGUUCGAGAGAGGUGAGUGGAAUUCCGAGUGUAGAGGUGAAAUUCGUAGAUAUUCGGAGGAACACCAGUGGCGAAGGCGGCUCACUGGCUCGAUACUGACGCUGAGGUGCGAAAGCGUGGGGAGCAAACAGGAUUAGAAACCCGAGUAGUCC
rnacentral:rRNA from 1 species